UGUUGAGACACGGGGUGCUCCGCAAGUCGCGGGGCUGAGAGCAGACCCGAGAACCUGGCCAGGUAAUGCUGACGAAGGGAUGUCAUGGCUUCGCAUA
rnacentral:ncRNA from 1 species